rnacentral:tRNA from 1 species
CAGGAUGUGGCUGAAUAAGUUAAGCGCCUCACUUACACCGAGAAGAAGUCCUUGCAAGUAGGACCAUCCUGA